AGUAGUUGUAGUGGUAGUAGUAGUGGUUGUGAUGGUAGUUGUAGUGGUGGUAGUUGAAGUGGUAGCAGUAGUAGUGGCAGUAGUAGUGGUAGUUGCAGCAAUAAAGUAGUCGUAAUUGUUGGUGGUGGUUUAGUAAUUAUUGUGUUUAUUAUAUGAAAUACUCAGAUUAUAUCUACAGACAGCAAACUAAUGUGAUUCACUAGUGUCCAUGCACAAGGAUAAAGCCAGCUCCCACUCAGAAUGAACAAUGGACUCACAGAAAAUAUUUUACAGCAUUUACAAAUAAUGUGUACACACAAUGACACAACGGCAUCGUUUAUCUUAUAUUGUAACAGUUAAUAUCAUAAUUCAUAUUAUAUAAAUGGCCAUCUUCAUAAUUAA